rnacentral:tRNA from 1 species
GGAGGGGUGGCCGAGUGGCUGAAGGCGGCGGUUUGCUAAACCGUUGUGCGGGGUAAACCCGUACCGGGGGUUCGAAUCCCCCUCCCUCCGCCA